rnacentral:lncRNA from 1 species
UAUUUUUUUUUUUUCAUUUUUUUCGAGAAAAACUUUAAGCAAAAAAAAUAAAAAAUAAGCUUAAACAACUAUUUUGUUUCGGAAAUAGAAGUAAAUGAAAACGGGUAAAAAAAAAAAAAAAAAAAAAAAGCGCAUAAAUGAAUGAAUAUAUGAACAAUAGCGACAUACUAAAAGGUAGAAACCAAGAGAUAAGUCACAAAAACGAACGUGUUUACAAAUUGUAACAAAAAAAAAAAAAAAAAAAAAAAAAAAAACACAUUAAGUUAUAAAGCACCAUGGAUAAACUUAAAACGUUGUACAUUGAUUCUUCCUUGAGUAUCAUUAAAGGUGCACUGUGUAUCAUACUCCAAAUUCCUACGGCAAGGACAACCGAAAAUGUGAAGAAGAAGCAAAAUAAUGUUGGUGUUCUGACAGUAAGAUCCAUUUUGAACGAACCAAACAGUAACCAAUACGAUGAUAUAAAAAAGCUUAUAAAAAAUAAAAUUCAAGAAUGUAGUCCUUUUUAUAAUUAUAUAAUAGAUAAAUCGUAUGCAGAGAAAGUGUAUGGAAGUAGUAUUUAUGAUAACUUUGGAAUACCAAAAAAUAUAAACGAAGUAAGCUUAAUAAUAUUAGAAGGGUGGAAUAUAAAUUGUAAUCGUAAUCGAGUUUUAAAACAUACCGGACUUAUACAAGAUAUAACAAUAAACGAAUUUAAAUAUUUAAAUAAUAAAGAAUGCUUAGAAGUUCAUUUUUCUGUUAAACCUAAAUAUACACUUGAAGAAUUAAAUAGUAUAUACAAAAAUGAAAAGGAAUUAAACCAAUUUUUGUUAUCACCUCUUAUGCGAAUUGAUGUUGGUACGAGUUAUAGUAAUGGCUAUAGUAAUGGCAUGGUAAAAGUUACAUGUGAUGAGUAUAAAGACCUAACAAGCAACUAUAUUGAUGAAACUGGUUUGGUAUAUCUUAUUGAUGUAAAAGAUAUUUUACCAAAAAAUAGAGUUUUACCUCCAUCGGGAGUUGAAGACAUAACAUAUGAAACGUCAACAGAAGUUACACCAUGGGAUGUAAACAUAACAGAAAAAGGAAUAGAUUAUAAUAAAUUAAUAAAGCAGUUUGGUUGUUCUAAAAUUACAAAAGAACAUGUAGAAAGAAUUGA